rnacentral:lncRNA from 1 species
GUUAUGCAGCCUGCAGAACCGCUGGGGACAGCUCUCUGAAAAUAGGAAUAAAUAGUGGCUCCUCGAUAAACACCUUCUUGCCUACAGCAUGUGUGACUGCAAACACAUUCCCACUUCAACUAAUCCAAGACGAGAAGGAUGACAAAAUAAGAGAAAUCAUGGGAAAAACUGCCCAUUUCUGUUUUGUCCACUUUGCUUUGGGAAGUGAGAGCUAUAGUCAUUAUCACCACAUCCCCUGGCAUCCAAUUCCGCUAGAGUACGACGUUGCUAUCUCAGCUCACUGCAACCUCCGCCUCCUGGGUUCAAGUAAUUCUCCUGCCUCAGCCUCCCGAGUAGCUGGGAAUACAGGUGCCCGCCACCACAUCUGGCUAAUUUUUGUAUUUUCAGUUGGCCAGUCUGGUCUCGAACUCCUGACCUCAGGUCAUCCUCCUGCCUCUGCCUCCCAAAGUGCUCGGAUUACAGGUGUGAGCCACCGUGCCAGGCCGGUUUCAUUUAACAUUUAUUUACAUUAGCAUGUGUAACUCUGGUUCACUUUGAAAGCUUGCAAAAUUUCAUUGUAUGAUUAUACUGCGGGUUAACCACUCUACUUUUGGUUGACAUGUGGGAGGUUUUCUUACAUAGCUAUGAUAAGAACUGUUGCAUUGAAUGGUCAUUUACAUGCCUCAUUUUCACAUAUAGGUGAGAUUCCUGGAGUUUUAUACCUACGAAUGAAAUUGCUAAAGUGCUAAAAAUAUGCGUAUUAAACUUUAUCGUAUAUUGACAAGGUUGUGGAAAAUUAAUGAAUUUUGGGGAUACCUGCAAACCAUAGCAACAUGUUUUUCUAUGGCUGUUCUUAUAGCUCACUUACUAAUGCAUAUUACUAAUAUAGUUUAAAUCUUUAUUUAAAUUGUGCUACAUUUCAAACCUAAAGAGAACUACAGAAAAUUAUAAAAGACUACUUAACCUUUAUUUAAAUUAAUAUACAUCAAAAUAUAAUUAGAAAUAAAAAAUUAAUCAUAAGAAAAGUUAUUUUCAUAUUUUCUUCCUGUCACGUUUAUGGAAAUAAAAAGUUAUUC